rnacentral:sRNA from 1 species
AAACUGGGUCCAGAUCUAGCUACGCGCGGCUGAUGCCCGGUGAUGCCGCUGCUAGCGCGGA